rnacentral:rRNA from 1 species
AAGUCGAGCGACAGAAAGGAGCUUGCUCCUUUGACGUUAGCGGCGGACGGGUGAGUAACACGUGGGCAACCUACCCUAUAGUUUGGGAUAACUCCGGGAAACCGGGGCUAAUACCGAAUAAUCUCUUUUGCUUCAUGGUGAAAGACUGAAAGACGGUUUCGGCUGUCGCUAUAGGAUGGGCCCGCGGCGCAAUAGCUAGUUGGUGAGGUAACGGCUCACCAAGGCGACGAUGCGUAGCCGACCUGAGAGGGUGAUCGGCCACACUGGGACUGAGACACGGCCCAGACUCCUACGGGAGGCAGCAGUAGGGAAUCUUCCACAAUGGGCGAAAGCCUGAUGGAGCAACGCCGCGUGAGUGAAGAAGGUUUUCGGAUCGUAAAACUCUGUUGUAAGGGAAGAACAAGUACAGUAGAAACUGGCUGUACCUUGACGGUACCUUAUUAGAAAGCCACGGCUAACUACGUGCCAGCAGCCGCGGUAAUACGUACGUGGCAAGCGUUGUCCGGAAUUAUUGGGCGUAAAGCGCGCGCAGGCGGUCCUUUAAGUCUGAUGUGAAAGCCCACGGCUCAACCGUGGAGGGUCAUUGGAAACUGGGGGA